rnacentral:snRNA from 1 species
GGAUGUGAGGGCGAUCUGGCUGUGACAUUUGGCUGGCUAGACAGGUGUCCCCUUCUUCCCUCACCACUCCAUGUGUGUCCCUCCUGAAGCUGCGCGCUCGGUCGAAGAGGACGACCUUCCCCGGUAGAGGAGGACCGUUCCUCGGUCAAGUGUAUAGGAGUAGCUGUGCUCCCUGCCAGAACCUCCAAACAAGCUCUCAAAUCUUUUGCCCUCUUUUUACUGAGUUAGGUCUGUUUUCUUAUUAUUGAAUUUUGAGGGUUUUUAUCUAUUCUGGAACAAGUCAUUUAUCGAAUAUGUGAUUUGCAAAUAUU